rnacentral:RNase_P_RNA from 1 species
GCAGCGAGCCAGACAACCGCCCGCUUUCGGCGCGGCAGGCCCGACAAGGGUUUGCGUCGCGAAGGCGAGAGGAAAGUCCGAACUCCGCAGGGCAGUGCGCCGGGUAACGCCCGGUCAGGGUAACCUGAAGGACAGUGGCACAGAAAACAUACCGCCUGUACGGGGGACGGGAGCCCCUGAGUACGUACUCAAGGGCUCCCGUCCCCCGUACGGGCAAGGGUGAAAAGGUGCGGUAAGAGCGCACCGCGCCCGUGGCAACACGGGUGGCAGGCAAAACCCCGCACGGAGCAAGACCAAAUAGGGAGGCCCAGCCGGCGCUCAAUGCGCCGGCGUGGUACGGAUGGCCCGUCCGACGCCUCCGGGUCGGUCGCUUGACCCUGUCAGCGAUGACAGGGCUAGAGGAAUGGUUGUCAUCCGCCGUAGCCCGCAAGGGCGACGGUGGAAACAGAACUCGGCUUACGGCUCGCUGCGAUC